rnacentral:tRNA from 1 species
GGGCAGGUACCUGAGUGGCCAAAAGGACGACGCUGUAAACGUCGCGGGUGGUGACACCCUACCUAGGUUCGAAUCCUAGCCUGCCC